AUAACAAACUAGGCCUCUUAGAGCUUUUAUCUUUCAAACUUGACUACAGUGAACCUCUAGCAAUUUGUCUAAUAUAGUUUAAGAUUUUCUACUUUAACAUGCUUACAGAGAGGUUUCUGCACUUGGACUUCUGUUCUAAUAUGCUGUAAUCUUCUUUGUUUGCCUGUGCUUUAUAAUGGAGAUAAAACAAAGAUGUUAAUUGUAAACUAAUACUAUUUGGCAGUUUGAGGAAGAGGCAUCUGAACAGAUGCCUGAAGAACAUGAACAAACCGGUCAUAUGAAGAUGUAGGAUCAGAAUGUUCAGGAAAAAGAAAAAGCAAGUGAAAACUUUUACAGUCAGAAUGAGCUUGGCUUAUUUGGAGAAUAGGCGAUGAAAUAAACAGAGACUUGCAACAAAUAGGAGAGCAGCAAUUGAAGAACCGUGGUUACACUGCAAAGGAUAUCAAUGCUCACAGCAUCUCAGAGCGCUAGUCUACCCUGCCACCCUUAUGGAUAAUAUAUUUCUGGACUUUGUAAGUACAUUACUUAAACAUUUUAUAAUCUCAUAAUUUCAUAGUACUUUCUCUCAAGAUAUUGGUAUAUGUCCUAAAUAAAAAAAUUAAUCAUAAAAAUAUUUAAGAUUUAAAAUUCAUAUUCACUUAAGUUUGGAAAAUGAUGUUUAAAAAUUUAGACUAAAAAGGUUUAUUUGAUUCUGUUUUUGUUUUAAAAAUCAACUUUUUUGAAUUAUAC
rnacentral:lncRNA from 1 species